rnacentral:sRNA from 1 species
AAUUCUUGGUUGUCCUUGCGGGAGAUUGGGUCACCUGCCACCAUCUGGCCCAAAAACGGGAGUUUAGCUCUUGUUGCCCAGCCUGGAGUGCAGGGCUGCGAUCUCGGCUUACUGCAACCUCCGCUUCCCAGGUUCAGGCAAUUCUCCUGCCUCAGCCUCCCAAGUAGCUGGUAUUACAGGCACAGCUAUAAGGAACACCCUUCAUUGGUCUCUGGGUAUAAUUAUAGGAAUUGGGUAUGUGGCUAGAAGAAGACUCACUGGGUGGUGAGGUUUGUGCUUCUGCAAGUUUACCAAGCAUUGCCACAGUGCUCUUCAGUUUAUACUCCUCAUAGAAAUAUGUGUAAGAUAUUGUUAAGACGCACUAUCUUAGCAUGAGACGGGACUUCUUCCAACCCUCCUAUGGAACAGAGGGGCAGACUGAAGACCUGAGAAGGAAUCUACUUGCCCAGGAUCACACAUUGAAGUUUUCUAUGGGACCCUUAAAGGAAGAACUAAGACUACUGGGUGGAAGCUUCCAAGAACUUUGGCUUCCACAAAUCACACUGCCAAGAUGG